AUCCAACAAAAUAGUUAUCAGAUUUUUUUUCAUAUAAAAAGGAUAAAAGAACAUGUCUCAAAAAGUUCAAUUCUAAUUUCUAAAUACUAAAUAAAUUUUGAAAAAUACAUACUAUGCUGCAUAAACUUAAUUCUUAUGGAAUUUAGGUGAAGCGAUGUAAAAGUUUAAUUUCGGAAGAUUCAAAAACUUGAAAGUUAUGCCGAACAAAUUAGGUCUUGGAUAGAUAAUACCUCGAGGGGCAAUCUGUAUAAAUACAUACAGCUCAAUCGCGAUCCUGUUUGAGAAGAAGGAUAUAUCUACCAUAUCCAUAUGGUUUUUGAAAUGAGUCAUUUUAUGUAUGAAUAAAUCAAGCAAAUGCACUGAGGGUGAAGAUUUAUACAUCUCAACAGAGUAAAGCACGGCAACAAGAAGGCAAAUUUCAACAGAUCCAGUAGCAAAUUAUUACUCAAAUCAUAUGGCAUGGGCAAGUAACGUGUCAGCACAUGUGAUUUUGACUUUGACAUUCAAUAGAGCCUGCAUGGGCGCUAUGCCGGUGCCCCUCUCAUUUUUCAACUUUCAACUUAAAUAUACCUAAUUUUGGGAUUCCAUUUUAUCACUUGCGGUGUUCUACCAAUUUUCUUUCAGCAACCUUCAUAUGUUUCAAACUCUAAAAAGUAUAGGUUUGGCCAUAUUCCAAACGAAGUUUCUAGAGCCCAACUCGAUAUUUUUUUUUUCUCCAGAAGGUCGUGAUUCUAAUAUUUUGUGGUAGUUCUUAAACAAUGAUAUGUAUUAUUUCAAUGAAAGGAACGCAUGGUAACAGAGCAAAGAUUUUCAGUGUAGCGAUUCAAAAUAUAAAGAAGUGAACGCAUAAAGUAACACGAGAUUCAUACAGUAUAUUACAUUGUAAUAUAGUUUUCCAGCGGAGAUGAUUAAGAUAAAACCCGAAACAAAAAUCUACAAA